UACGUAGGUGGCUAGCGUUGUCCGGAUUUACUGGGCGUAAAGAGCGCGCAGGCGGUCGUUCAAGUCGAGUGUGAAAGCCCCCGGCUCAACUGGGGAGGGUCAUUCGAUACUGAUCGACUCGAAGGCAGGAGAGGGUAGUGGAAUUCCCGGUGUAGUGGUGAAAUGCGCAGAUAUCGGGAGGAACACCAAUUGCGAAGGCAGCUCGCUGGGACGUCACUGACGCUGAGACGCGAAAGCGUGGGGAGCAAACAGG
rnacentral:rRNA from 1 species